AGAGAGAGAGAGAGAGAGAGAGAGGAACUUUAUUUCUAUUGUUACAAUGGUUAUUCUUUUCCAUGAGACCUACGCUUACGAGAACAUUAAAAUGAAGUUAAUACACAAAAGAAAAUACCUAUAUCAAAAUUGAGUUAGACAACAUUCGUGAGUUAUAAGGUAAAAAGUAUUAAACAUACAAAGCUAAAACGUUAUCAUGAUAAAAGGUUAAAGUGUUAAGAUCAGAGUAUGAUGUAGUCAGACAAUAUAACACAAAAUGUUUAAAUAUGGUGAGGCAAUCAGAGUAAAAAAAAAUCAUAAGUGGGCUACAAUUAUAUGACUGUCCAGGGAGGGGGAUUCCAACCCUGCCCGGCAGAUUCAUAGGUAGGCAUGCUAACCACUACACCACGGAGCCAUAAGAAUUAGCCACACUAUACCAGGACAAAUAAUUCUUAGUGUGUGUGUGCCCUGGUAAGAUUCAAAUGUGCUGCCCUGGUAGUGAGUAAGUGUAUGGGGUUUGGUGAGUAAGCUUAUGGGCACAAGUAAUUUAUGGGCAUUGGUGAGUAAGUUUUGGGGGCAAGGUGAGUAAGUUUAUGGGCACAAGUAAGUUUAUGGGCAUCGGUGAGUAAGUUUUGGGGGCAGGUGAGUAAGUUCAUGGGCUCAGGUGAGUAAGUUUAUGGGCAUUGGUGAGUAAGUUUUUGGGGAAAGGUGAGUAAGUUUAUGGCGCAAGUAAGUUUAUGGGCAUUGGUGAGUAAGUUCAUGGGCUCAGGUGAGUAAGUUUAUGGGCAUUGGUGAGUAAGUUAAUGGGCACAAGUGAGUAAGUUAUGGACAUUGGUGAGUAAGAUUUUGGGGGCAAGAUGAGUAAGUUUAUGGGCAUUGGUGAGUAAGUUUAUGGGCACAAGUGAGUAAGUUAUGGGAGAGAGAGAGAGAGAGAGAGAGAGAGAGAGAGAGAGAGAGAGAGAGAGAGAGAGAGAGAGAGAGAGAGAGAGAGAGAGAGAGAAUCAGAAA